rnacentral:rRNA from 1 species
GACGAACGCUGGCGGCGUGCUUAACACAUGCAAGUCGAACGGAAAGGCCCUGCUUUUGUGGGGUGCUCGGGCGAACGGGUGAGUAACACGUGAGUAGCCUGCCCUUGACUUUGGGAUAACUUCAGGAAACUGGGGCUAAUACCGGAUAGGAGCUCCUGCUGCAUGGUGGGGGUUGGAAAGUUUCGGCGGUUGGGGAUGGACUCGCGGCUUAUCAGCUUGUUGGUGGGGUAGUGGCUUACCAAGGCUUUGACGGGUAGCCGGCCUGAGAGGGUGACCGGCCACAUUGGGACUGAGAUACGGCCCAGACUCCUACGGGAGGCAGCAGUGGGGAAUAUUGCACAAUGGGCGGAAGCCUGAUGCAGCAACGCCGCGUGCGGGAUGACGGCCUUCGGGUUGUAAACCGCUUUCGCCUGUGACGAAGCGUGAGUGACGGUAAUGGGUAAAGAAGCACCGGCUAACUACGUG